rnacentral:rRNA from 1 species
CGGGGACGGGUGCUAAAACCCCAUAUGCCGAGAGGUGAAAAAGAGUUCUGCCUAAGGAAGAGCUCGCGGCUGAUUAGCUAGUUGGCAGAAUAAAAGACUACCAAGGCAACGAUCAGUAGCUGGUUUGAGAGGACGAUCAGCCACACUGGGACUGAGACACGGCCCAGACUCCUACGGGAGGCAGCAGUGGGGAAUCUUCUGCAAUGGGCGAAAGCCUGACAGAGCAAUACCGCGUGAGGGAUAAAAGCCUGAGGGUCGUAAACCUCUUUUUUCAGGGAAGAAAUUUGACGGUACCUGAAGAAUAAGCAUCGGCUAACUCCGUGCCAGCAGCCGCGGUAAUACGGAGGAUGCAAGCGUUAUCCGGAAUCACUGGGCGUAAAGCGUCUGUAGGUGGCUUUUCAAGUCUGCUGUUAAAGACUGAGGCUUAACCUCAGAAAAGCAGUGGAAACUGACAAGCUAGAGCAUGGUAGGGGUAAAGGGAAUUCCCAGUGUAGCGGUGAAAUGCGUAGAUAUUGGGAAGAACACCUGUGGCGAAAGCGCUUUACUGGACCAUUGCUGACACUGAGAGACGAAAGCUAGGGUAGCAAAUGGGAUUAGAUACCCCAGUAGUC